GCCCCAUCCCUAAACUAUUUAUAUCAUGUUAGGUUUGUGUCCUGUUUAGAUCUGUACACACUACACAUAAAAAUGAGACGACUUUUUGGUGGGCUGUAAAAAGAUCGACAAUACAGGAAGAUAAAUUUGGCUGAAGUUUGAUGUUUUGAAAGAUGUUAGUUUGGAUGAAUGCUAAUCAGAGAAGGAUGGGUACCUGGAAAAGAUUGAAGAAUGAAGAUUGUCUUAUGUUUUUUUGAGAUGUUUAUAUUUAGUUUUUAUUUUUGUAUUUCUAUUUUGUUUGUUGUGGAUAGUUUUAGUUGUGUUUUUACUUAGGUCAUGUGUGGCUUCAUGUACGUUUGAUAUGGAAAGUUUUUGUUAUGUUU